UUAUUACAAGAGAAGGCUACAUAAAAAGUAAAUUUCGUGGGCAUUAACUUUGACCAUGACCAUAUGAGCUGCUUUUCAACUAAUCUAAAUAAAAAUACUUUUAUUUUCACGAAAAUAAGAUUGACUAUUGUAAUUUUGUUCAUUCUUUUGCCUUCCAUUCUUUAGUUAUAUCAGUUGGAGUCCUGGAUACUUAUUGUGUGGAU
rnacentral:lncRNA from 1 species